rnacentral:lncRNA from 1 species
CCAUUUUAGGAUGAGGGAACAAACCCUGAAGGUGUGAACAAGCUCGGUGCAUCUAGACAUGUAAGGAAGGUUCCAGCAUGUGAAGGAGCGAGGACGGAGAAGGGUCCGGUGAGGUCUUACAGCAACAGAGGGUCCAGCCACAUGAGGCUGAGCAGCCAAGUGAUCUGCCUAGGCCAGCUCCCCUUCAUCUUCUGCCAUGAGUGGAAGCAGCCUGAGGCCCUCACCAGAAGCAGAUGUUGGCACUAUGCUUCUUAGACAGCCUGCAAAACUGUGAGCCAAAGAAUUCCCUUUUCUUUAUAAAUGACCCAGCCUCAGGUAUUCCUCUAUAGCAACGCAGAUGGACUAAGACACUCAUGCUUCCUUUCAUUAGCUAUUUCAAGCUCAAAAAUUGUGAGACUGUGCCAAGAAUUAGGGCAGGAUCUUGUCAUUGCGAACUUACAACUUUUCUAUCUAAAGCAAAAGGUCCUAAUCCCAAACCAUAAUUGGAAAGGUGCCUCUACUCCAACCUCAUUGCCCUUCAACUGCCCCUUCUCUGCCUCCCAUUCCCCUCUUACUCACCGAAAGACAAAUGAGUUUAGGCUGGGCACAGUUAGCCAUCGUUCUCAGAAAAACAAAAUCUUGCUGCUUGGUAUUCUCACUUAGAAUCCCUUCACUUAGCUUAUGGAUCACCCUACACAGAUUCCUGACAGCUCACUGGGCCAGGGAACCAGCCAGAUUUUUGAGCUACAUCUGCAGUAUCUUUUCUACUCAGGCAGCUGGCAUAAGGGAUGUGUCCUACAAUCACCAUCAGCCAGGAAGUGGUCAGGAUGCAGUGGUUAUAACUGGAUUAUUUUCCCUGGCCUGGCUGACCAUCUGCAACCCCCUGGUGUUUCAAUGUACAAACUAUUUUAGGACCAUCUGCGUACUGGCUGUUGCCUGAAAAUCUUGUGUUGAUGUGGAUUUGUAAGACUGGGAAAGCACCAGCAUUCAAAACUUGAAGAAAGGUGUUAGCAGUUUGGCAGACAAUCCUACAGAAAACUCUUUAUUCUUGGGGGAGAAAAAGUUGCCUCCCAUCAACUUCAAUGGUUCACAGGAUGAUGACGUGUGGGGAAACACAAACCUCGACAACAUUGAGUCCAAAUGUGUUUCGGAAGACUCAGAAUGAAGAAGAAGAUGCCAAGGAAAACCUUAACCAAUUUAUUUUCCUUUUUAAUGAGUGAUAUGUGAUUUUUCAAAAGCCUAAAUACAUCUAAAAGAGCUAUAUCAGUUAAGUAUAAGAUAAAAAUUCUAAACCAUAGAAAGCACUGUUACUGCUUAAUUGACAGCAAUUUUUCUUUCUUUGCAAUGUAUAAAAUAAUGGGUGCUUUUUAUGUUCACUGAAAUUCAUAUUGUUGUCUCCUUUUACAGCUGGGAAAGCGGAAAUCUGGAGAACUAAAAUAUCUUGCUGAAGAUCACAAUGCAGUAAAGCAUAGGGCAAGUUUCCAACUCGAACAUCACCCCAGAACACUUCCUUUUAAACAUAAAUUAUGUUGCUAACUUUUUUAUUGUUACUUAGCAGGCAGAUUUCAAACUGAUACAAAUGUUGAAAAUGAUACAAAAUGUUUUCCCACCUUAAAGGCAUUCUGAAACCUAGCACAUAACAUCUGUCACUGAAGUCCAUAGUUUCCAAUGCCAUGAUUGGAUAAAGACCCUAUUGAGACUCAUGUGUUUGUCUCUCACUGCUUAAAACACUCAUGUGUUUUAAGCAACAUGACAAGCACAAAAGAGAACAAGUACUGCUCCUGCUCUCCAGGAAGUUACCAUAAAAUAAAGGGGAUAAGGUGCCUUCCAAAGAAAAAACAAAUACUAGGAGAGGUCAGAGGAGAAGAGAGAUUAUUCCAGAAGGAGAGACUGAGGCAGAUUUCAGGAGGGAAGAAUAUAAGAGUCCCAAAAGAAGAAACAGGAACCCAGGUUAGAGAGCAAUGGGCAAGGGGUAGGAGGUGAGACUAAACUCACAAGGAAGUUGCUUCAAAACAAUAGUGCCCCAAAUGCCAAGCUGAUGGGUUGGACCCAUUUAGGAAAAACCCACAAAGUCCACAGGAGAGCAGACUGCACUUCCAUGAGCUUCAAGCUGUAAACAGUAACCUCAAAUAAAACUUUUCCCGGAUCGGUAAUUUCCAUCCUGAACAAUGGCCAAGUCAAGGAAGCUGAGGAUCGAGCCCCCUACCGCAUGCCACAAAGAACCUCAAGGGACCCCAUGCUCUGGGGAGCUCGCAGGAGGACCAGCACAGAGGUGUGACUGCGUUGGGGCAGGGUGGCCACAUGUACAAUGUUGUACCUUCCAAUGUUCCUCCUUAGGCUGUGCUUAUGAAGUCCCAACAUGUCUUCUGGGCUGUGUUUUCAACCAAGAGAGUUAAUAAAAAGUGGGAUGGGCACCAACUAUGCCUCCAGAGACAUCAGGCAGAAUAUGCCACAGCGUGCCAUGUCCUCCUGCAAACAGUCAGAAAGAAAAGAUCUCUAAAAGCAGAUUGGAAGAGACUAUAUAUACAGAGCGAGUGCCGGUACAGAAGUUUUGCUGCAAAUACACCCUCUAAUCCCUUGCAACCCACUGCAAGCUCGAGAGACCAGUGCCCUUGGUAAAACAUAGGAGAGAUCAUUAAUUAAAGCCUAGGCCCUUUCUUUGAUCCUGAGGGAUAAGGCUUGGGAAAAUGCACAGUGAUAAAAGUGAACAUUUUAAAAGAGCAGAGUGAGUGUGAAUUCCCAAAGAGACCAUUCAUAUCAAGACCCAAGCCAUGAGAAAAUGCUACAAUGCCCUUGAUCAAUACUUUAUAGGCAUUUUGACCUCAGAUCUAAUCCCAUGAGGCUUAGACCAAGACCUUGCUUGAUGCAGACCUCUCUGACUGCUGAAAUUGGUCAGGAGCUCAGUGAUGAAAAUUUGGAAAGUCAAUGCUGAUACCUGAAGAAAGUCCCAUCAGAGAUCUGUGACCUGAAUCUUCAUAACUUUCACAGGCCCUUUCUAAAUGCCAAGGAGGAUGUGUGUGGAGAAGAAUAUGCCACCUAUGGCAUCCCAAUAUGCCUGUGCCCGCCUGCUCUUCAACAAGGGAAUGAAACCUGGGUAUUCUCAUAGGUUUUUUAAAGCACUUGUCCACAUAUUUUAUUCCGCAAAUAACACAAUUUAAAAUUCAGCUAGAAUUUGCCAUUUUCUGUCAGGGUUGUGCAUUUCUUCCAGUCACCAUGACUUCCUGAGAUAGCCAAAACACAAAAUUUAAAUUGUGUUUAAAUUAAAUAAACACAAUUUAUGCUGAAGCUGACUUUACCCACUCUGUUCCAACAUUACUUAUCCUCAGCAUCUCUGAAUUCAAAUAUCAGCCAGGUGUGGUGGCUCAUACCUGUAAGCCCAGCACUUUGGCAAGCCAAGAUGGGAAGGUUGCUUGAGGAGUUGGAGACCAGCCUGGGCAACAUAGCAAGACCCCCAUCUCUACAAAAAAAUUAAAAAAUUAGCCAGGCAUGGUGGUAUGCACCUUUAGUCCUAGCUACUUGGGAGGCUGAGGUGAGAAGAUCACUUGAGCCCAGGAGCUUGAGGUGGCAGUGAGUCAUGAUCAUACCACUGCACUGUAGCCUGAGCAACAGAGCAAGACCCCAUCCCUUAAAAAAAAUACCUGCCCUCUGUACUUCAUAGCACCUGGGGCAUUUUGAACAGUUCUUCCUUCACCUGAGGUCAUUAUUUGAGAAUCCAAUUUUAGAGACUACAAUGCUCUCAUUACUUGGAUUGUAUCAUUUAAUCUUCCCAACAAUCCAGGAAGGGGAGUCUCUUAAUGAUUGUCCUUGAUUUCCAGUUAAAAAAUCUAGACCCAGAGGUAACCUUGUGAAGGUCACAGAGUUUCAGAGUUCUAAGAUCCCAUGCGAGAUUGCUGAACUUGAACUUGUUUCUUCUGAUCUCAUGUCAAUAAGUGACUUAGUCAACACCUGGGUAGAAAUCAUCACUAAAGUGAGAAAGCACAUGGUGAGGGGGAUGAAUCCUGUGCCCACAUGGUCCCUUUCACCUGCCCAAUCCUCAGGCCUCUCACCUGGGGUACCCCUCACACACAUGGCACUUUCCUGAACUCAUGGACAUUUCAGUUUGUAACGAUCCUCCUAAGAUUAUCUACUUUCACCUAUCCACAUUUGAACUAUACUUCUUUAGUGGAAAAAAAGAAAUAAAGCCAGUGCUGAGAAUGAUCAAACUCCAGAAAUAGUAGACUGCUGUAUAAUUUGUCUUGCGUGACACCAGAUCUUUCAAGGAACUGCAAGCUCAAGUGCACAGUUAAGCAAGAUCAAGAUCUACCUUUGUCUUUCAGAGCCUUCCCUUGGCGAGGUCAAGGAUAUCUGCUGUGAGCCUGGGCUGGCUGAACCAAAGGGCAAUGGAGGCGGCCAAGAAGCCCCAGCCAACUGCUCCCCUCCCCAACCCCCUUCUCCCUGGAGGUCCCUUCAGCUAGAAUUUGCCAUUUUCUGUCAGGGUUGUGCAUUUCUUCCAGUCACCAUGACUUCCUGAGAUAGCCAAAAGCAUUUGCUGUGAGCAGAGCCCCAUGGCUGGCUUUGCACAUCAAACAUUUCAGACAGCCAUAUAUUUCAUAGAAUACAAGGGGAAGAUAACACUGGACACACAGAACUUUCCAACAGCUUGAGAAAAUGUGGUGCCUGGUGACUGACUAAAUAUACAAUCGGACAACAGCCAGGCCAUAGCAAAAGAUGGAACUCUGAUCCACAAGGUGCAGCAACUUUCCCAGAAAACAAUACCCUUACCCACAAAAAGCAACCCCGGAAGCUGGCCUGCUCUAAAUCAGACCUGCUGGAAGCCAAAUUGCUCUCUAGUAACUAUCCAGGAAGCUAAAUAAUAACUUCUGUAACAAUUGACUCAAAAUGUUCAGGACUGGAUUAAUAACUGAUGGCUUCCCUAAUUUUUGUCCCCGAUUCCAACUUAGGACCCACCAGAGAAAGCCAAAUAUGGUCCCCUGACCAAGCACACAGGAUGUUCGCUUCUAGUGAGCCGCCUCCAGCUUCCCCGCAUUGAUAACCUCCAAUCAGGGCACACCUGAAGCCUUCGCCUUUUUCCACUAUAAAGCUCUCCCACUCGUCUGCCCACCUUUGAGUCUCUGCCAAAUUGCAAAUGAUGGUGUCUGACUCCCUUGCUGUAGCAAGCUCUGCAUAAUAGCUUGUGCUUAUUCUCUUUGGGUAGGUCUUCAUUUCUUUUCACACCAGAUAGGCAUCAUCUUUGAAAACAUCUUUACUGGGUCUCUUGUCUCCCUCCUGCAGCCACUGAUCUAAAUCACAGACUUUUUUAGAAAGAGGGAAAAUAGUAAAGAAAGAAAGCGAUUGAGUUGAUGCUCCCAGCCACUGUCUGUACCCUGAAUUUUGUUUUUCUGCCAUAUGUCAGGUGGCCUCUCCUGGACCAUCGUCACUGUUUCUCCUGCUUCCCUGCAGCUGCAGACACAGGAGCACUGUGUAGGUCUGGCCUUGAGCACCCACCCACCCAGUACAGAGCCAGCCCCUGCUGUUCUGAAUCAGUGCAGUGACCACUUAGAACACAGUGCCCAUGCCUCUGUGAUCUGAACUGCUCUUUCCAGUUCCAUACAAUGUUAAGAACCCACUUAAGAAUGUUUUAAUCAUUCAGUAGUUUUUCGUGGUAUAUAAUAAAAAAGUGAUUUAAAUACAAUCUAUUUUAUUUUAGAUUAUAUCAUUAGGGGUUAUUUUACAAAGUUACCUUUAAAUACUAUUGUAAAUAA